rnacentral:rRNA from 1 species
UACGAAGGGUGCAAGCGUUACUCGGAAUUACUGGGCGUAAAGCGUGCGCAGGUGGUUUGUUAAGUCUGAUGUGAAAGCCCUGGGCUCAACCUGGGAACCGCAUUGGAAACUGGCUUACUAGAGUGCGGUAGAGGGGUGUGGAAUUCCCGGUGUAGCAGUGAAAUGCGUAGAUAUCGGGAGGAACAUCUGUGGCGAAGGCGACACCCUGGACCAGCACUGACACUGAGGCACGAAAGCGUGGGGAGCAAACAGG